UGCACUUUCAAUGUUACACCUUAAACCCAGAUAUAUUAUGCAGAUGAAUAUGCUUGUCAACUGAUUCAUACAAUUUCACACCCAAACUGGUGACAAGAUUCAAAGUUCAUUCCUUUAUUUAUUUUUUUAUUACUAACAUAAACAUUAUUAUUCUAAAGAGGCUAGUCUUACACAGCACACUUCACAUAAGAAAUGAAUAUUUACACUGGACAGCAUGAAACUCUACCUGCCUCCUAAUUGUAUUCUUGAUAUUAUAUGAUAUGGAUGACCUUACAUCCCUCCUUAUUUUCAGAAGUAUCCACAGCUUGUAGUUCAAGCAUUUUCCUUUUAUGUCUGUUUCAAGGCCAAGUCAUCAUUUACUUUUUCUAUUCACUUCUGUUAUCCACAAGAGCUCAUUCUUAUUUUUCUUCUGCGUGAAUUCUGCUGUGCCACUUUGCCACUUUUUUAGAAUCCUCAGGAGGUGCCUGGAAACCAACAUUUUCGACGGAUCCUACAGUCUUGAACAACCGUCUCUUGUUCACUUCUUCCACCAAUGACCGGUGAAGUAACUGGCUACGAAUAUCUACGAGUGAAUGGUUCCUCGUCAAUCUACGGUUGUCCAUCACCCUUUUGUGUUUAGAGCUAGAAGCUCCAUACUGUGACUCCAGCAAAAGCUUGCAGUGUUUGUAGGCAUCUUUAGCAAUUGUUUGCCCAAUGUCAGAGCUUGAAUUGUCUUGAGGACAAAAUCUUGUCGCAUUCUGAGUCCUUAUGGGAUGUUUAUUAUCUCUUCUUGCUGUGCUCAUAUCAAAUUUGUGAUCAUCACCAGAAAUGUAAUUCAUGAUGGAAUAUGAUCCUGAGUGUGAAGAGCUCUGAGAACUGGCAUCAUCUAGCAAAUCAUCUGCAACAGCAAUUGUUUUAAAUAGAAACUGUGAUUUGAAUUGCUGAUCUAGAUUCUAGCAUGAUUUCUAGUAGUUAGUCUCUGUCAUGGGAUUGUUAAGUAUGCAGUCAUUUCUUAGUACCCAAAUGAUUCUGUCCCAAUUCAUACUCAGACUUUAGUUCUUUAUAGCAUGAGAAUCAUUAAAAUUCCGCAUAAAUAGUGACUUAGCUUUUAUGUAACAUGAAAUAGAUUGUUCUAUCAAAACUUAAGCAACUUCUUUUGAUAUUAAAGAUGCAUCACACGCAUAAUGACCAGUAAGGGAGACAAGAUGCGAGUGUUGACCAUUAAAGGCAAAGAUCAAAUGCAUUUGAAAAUUUUGAUCUUUGAUUAGUAUGUCACUCUUUUGCAUAUGAGUUCAAUAUAUACUUCUAGUCUUAUUGUCUGGUAAGUUAAGCAGCCUAAACCACCCGCCACCCACAGUAGGCAUUGUUAGGAAUCUCUUCCCCUCCCCUCUCCCUCCCCACCCCCAAAAAGCAUAAAGAUUACUUAUGUUCUGUCAUAAAAACAAGCCAGGAUUGAGCCAAAAUCCAUGCUCUAGUAGAUUAAUCUGGCAUACAGCUAAUGUUUAAGGCCACCAAAACUGAAUUCAGGCAAUUCCUAGUUACCACUAAGUAUUUGGGCAGGUCAGAGAGCCAUUUAUGGUUCAAAUAGGAACUACAUGACGAGUUAUAAGAUCAGAACAACUUAAAGGAAUUAUGGGACACAUACCUUGGAGAGAAUGUGUCAUUAAUCUCGAUAUGGAUGCUUGAGAUGAUGAACAAGUGGAGGAAGAAUCGAAAGGAUGAUUAGUCCCAUCAUCUUCUUGGUAGUUGAAUGUAUGAUACUCUUCAAUUUGAGGCAAAUCCCAUUUCUUCCAAUUUGGCACUAGAGAUGAAAUCUCCCCAUCAAUCAUUUCAGCAAUUUCAAGAGGCUCCCAAUCAUCUAUGUCCAGCUCCUUGACCAUCUCCAUUGCAACAUCCAUUGGUGUAUCAUGUAAAAUGUCAAAAGGAAAAUAUAUAUUCCUUAGAGUACCAUCUUUAUUAGCAAUUUGUACUUUAAGAAAGAUGGUAUCAUCUUCAGGGUUGAGCUUCCCCGUGAUAGUCAUGUCUGUCCUUGGUGGAUCCCCUCUCAAUUGUAGCUUCUCCAUUUCCCUACAAUUCAAAAAUGGCUUCUGAUUUCCAGACCUCGUAACAGGUGAUGGAUCAGCUUCAUCAGAUACAAGAAAUGGAUCAAGCAGUAGUUCUUUUGCUGAUAACCUCUUUGAUGCAGUUACUAAGCAUUUUCCAAUGAAUUGCUGUGCUUCCAAGUCCUGAAUCCGAUAGAAUGCAGCAGGAAGCUUCCCCGAAGUCACUUUCUUGUAAAUUUGUGCUGGGUUAACACAUUCACUAUAUGGAUAUUCAGAUGUAAGCAUCUCUAAAACACACAUGCCAAAUGAGUAAACAUCAACAAGCUCAUUGUAAUUCUCUUCGUAUAAUUCUGGUGCCAUGAAUUCUAGGGUGCCUAACAAAUGCU
rnacentral:misc_RNA from 1 species